CGCACCUUGCGCCCCUUGGCAUUCCGAGGGGCACGCCUGUUCGAGUGUCGUGAACUCCUCCACCCUCUACCUUUUUCGAAGGGUUAUUGGGCUGGGAUUUGGGAGCUUGCGGGUCCCUGGCCGAUCCGCUCUCCUUGAAUACAUUAGCGAAGCCCUUGCGGCCUUGGUGUGAUAGUCAUCUACGCCUCGGCUUAGCGAACCUGUGGGAGUCGCUUCCAACCGUCCCUCUGCGGACAAUCACUACCAACUUGACCUCGAAUCAGGCGGGACUACCCGCUGAACUUAA
rnacentral:misc_RNA from 1 species